AAGGUCACAUAGAGCUGGAAUUUAAAUUCAGAUCUAUUAUACUCUUAAAAACUAUGGAAGAAGCAAAAUCUGAUCCAGAGCCUGGGGAUGCUGGAGGAGCGUCAAGGCUGGGAAAGUAACAUGCACUGUGUUCGCAAUCAACAGAAAAGAUAUUUUUAAACAAAAACAAUUUUCCAAGUUUCCAGGAAAAGAAACAAAAGGCUUUUCUAAAAUGAAAGGAACUGUUCUUCUUGUUCUGUGACUUUUAUGUCACUUGGACAACAAGCCAGUGCUUAGAAACGGUUAUUUUCCUGUCGACAUCACUGCAUGGAUACUUCUUAGAAGGACAUAACAGCAUUAGCACUCAAUCCCAGGCUCUGCUCACCCUCCAAUGGCAGUCAUUUUCAAAAACAAUAAAGAUAUCUAUGCUUGGUC